rfam:Oryza nivara chromosome 12, whole genome shotgun sequence.
UUUAAAUACAAAUAUAAGUUUCCAUGCCUAACUUUGAAUGUCCGUCUUAUUUAUUUAGUAUUUUUAUUGUUAUGAGAUGAUAAAACUACAUGAAGUACUUUAUACGUGACUUAAGUUUUUAAAUUUUUUCAAAAACUUUUUAAAUAAGACGGACAGUCAAAGUUGUGCACGGAAAAUCAUGGCUACACUUAAA